GACGAACCGAGCGAACGUUGUUCGGAAUCACUGGGCUUAAAGGGCGCGUAGGCGGGAUGGCAAGUCGGUCGUGAAAUCCCUCGGCCUCAACCGAGGAACGUCGAUCGAUACUGCUGUUCUUGAGGAUUGCAGAGGAGACUGGAAUUCCCGGUGUAGCGGUGAAAUGUGUAGAGAUCGGGAGGAACACCGGUGGCGAAGGCGGGUCUAGCUGGGCAA
rnacentral:rRNA from 1 species